rnacentral:lncRNA from 1 species
AAUAUAAGGUUUAGGGUUUACGUUUAGGGUUUAGAGUUGAUGUUUUAGGGUUUUGAUUUGAAGGUUUAGGGUUUAGGGUUUAGGGUUUAGGGUUUAGGGUUUAGAGUUGAUGUUUCGUGGUUUAGGGUUUAAAGUUGAUGUUUUAAGUUUUGAUUUAGGGUUUAGAGUUGAUGUUUUAGGGUUUAGAUUUGAAAUUUUAGGGUUUAGGGUUUAGAAUUGAUGUUUCGGUGUUUCGGGGUUUAGGGUUUAGAAUUUGAUGUUUCAUGGUUUACGGUUUAGAGUUGAUGAUUUAGGGUUUAGAGUUAAUGUUUUAAGUUUAUAUUAGUUAAUGUAUGUUUUUUUGUCAAAGGUUAUAAAUGUCUUUUAGUCUU